GGGGGUGACUAGUGGCAGAGUGAGGGAAGGAAGGGGUGACUAGUGACAGAGCGAGGAAGGGGUUGACACAGUGACAGAGUGAGGGAGGGGGUGACUAGUGACAGAGUGAAGGAGGUGGUGACUGUCACUAGUCACCCCAUCCCUCCCUCUGUCACUAAUCACCACCUCCCUCACUCUGUCACUAGUCACCCCCUUCCUCACUGUCACUAGUCACCCCCUUCCUCACUGUCACUAGUCACCCCCUCCCUCUCUCUGUCACUAGAGUGAGGG
rnacentral:sRNA from 1 species